CCUACCACGCAGUAGCCUAGAUUCUCAGCAAGUCAG
rnacentral:sRNA from 1 species